rnacentral:lncRNA from 1 species
GCUUUUCCUUGAACCCCAAAAUUUUCUGAUUUUUUCUUUUUUUCGCUUUUCUUGAACCCCGGGACAUCUUUGAUUAAUUAAUUUUUUUUUGCUUUUCUUGGACCCCGAACAAAUAUUUUCUUUCGCGCGGAUAAUCCCGGAUCACCGCAUUUGAACCCCAACAACUUCAUAUCACUCCUGUUUGCCAAACAAUGAACCCCGUUCUCCACUUGAACCCCAGUCGCCUGACGAUAACUCACGAUCACCACUGUGAACCCCAUUCUCCA